ACUGUGCUAUUGCGGAGCAUUCACUUUUAAUUUCAUUUAGAGUAUAUUGAAUUUGACAGUAUAAUGUGUCAAAUGCGCCUAGCGGGGCAUAGUUCGGCGUAUAAACAGGGUCAUGUUUCAAAUAGGCUGAAAUUAAAUCGUCUAUAACUAUCGCGAAAUCUUGACGUAAUUUUUCUAAACUUUGAACGCGAGACAAGAAAUUCGUUUUGUUCACAGGAUCACUCACCUUCAGACUUAAAUCAUAUAUUUGUUGAAUUGAUAAAAACAAGAAUUCUUUCUUAGCCUCUAAUCUAACAAUAGUUUCGUUAGAUUUCGACAUUCUGAUUUCUGAUAUGCGAUAAUAAACGUUAUUUCAAGCGAAUAAGACUCAAUACAGGCGAAUAAUUAUUUCGAUAUAAUUUUUAUAAUGAGUUUGUUGUAGGUAGAUAUAAAAAGUUUUAAUCUUUAAAUAUUGAAAAAUAUACAUAAAUAAUUAUAUAUAAUGCGUUAAUAUAAUGUAAUGCGUGGAUCUAAACAUAAAUAUGCGUAAUUAUACAAGAUUUUUGUAUAUUUUUGUUAGCGGCGGUACCUAUGUUCCGAACGUAAUUCUAUUGCAAUGAAUAUUGAAAUAUACAAUAAAUAGCGUGUUUAGUGUUGAAUUGUAUAUGAAUACGAUUCUAGGAAGAGAAAUUGGAUACGGUGCGA